UGUAUGGGGAUCUGCCCGAUAGAGGGGGAUAACUACUGGAAACGGUGGCUAAUACCGCAUAAUCUCUUAGGAGCAAAGCAGGGGACCUUCGGGCCUUGCGCUGUCGGAUGAACCCAUAUGGGAUUAGCUAGUAGGUAAGGUAAUGGCUUACCUAGGCGACGAUCCCUAGCUGGUCUGAGAGGAUGAUCAGCCACACUGGGACUGAGACACGGCCCAGACUCCUACGGGAGGCAGCAGUGGGGAAUAUUGCACAAUGGGCGCAAGCCUGAUGCAGCCAUGCCGCGUGUAUGAAGAAGGCCCUAGGGUUGUAAAGUACUUUCAGUCGGGAGGAAGGCGUUGAUGUUAAUACCA
rnacentral:rRNA from 1 species